rnacentral:rRNA from 1 species
AUUGAACGCUGGCGGCAGGCUUAACACAUGCAAGUCGAGCGGGGGAAGGUAGCUUGCUACCGGACCUAGCGGCGGACGGGUGAGUAAUGCUUAGGAAUCUGCCUAUUAGUGGGGGACAACAUCUCGAAAGGGAUGCUAAUACCGCAUACGUCCUACGGGAGAAAGCAGGGGAUCUUCGGACCUUGCGCUAAUAGAUGAGCCUAAGUCGGAUUAGCUAGUUGGUGGGGUAAAGGCCUACCAAGGCGACGAUCUGUAGCGGGUCUGAGAGGAUGAUCCGCCACACUGGGACUGAGACACGGCCCAGACUCCUACGGGAGGCAGCAGUGGGGAAUAUUGGACAAUGGGGGGAACCCUGAUCCAGCCAUGCCGCGUGUGUGUAGAAGGCCUUAUGGUUGUAAAGCACUUUAAGCGAGGAGGAGGCUACUUUAGUUAAUACCUAGAGAUAGUGGACGUUACUCGCAGAAUAAGCACCGGCUAACUCUGUG